rnacentral:rRNA from 1 species
UACGGGGGGGGCAAGCGUUGUUCGGAAUUACUGGGCGUAAAGGGCUCGUAGGUGGCCAACUAAGUCAUACGUGAAAUCCCUCGGCUUAACCGGGGAACUGCGUCUGAUACUGGAUGGCUUGAGAUUGGGAGAGGGAUGCGGAAUUCCAGGUGUAGCGGUGAGAUGCGUAGAUAUCUGGAGGAACACCGGUGGCGAAGGCGGCAUCCUGGACCAACACUGACACUGAGGAGCGAAAGCCAGGGGAGCAAACGGG